ACUGGAGUUCAGACAUGUGUUCUUCCCGUACUGUCUCAUGUUAGUUUCUGCAAAACUUGGGCUAGAAACUGGUGUCAACUCUGCUCACCAGCUAGCUGGAUCCUAGGCCAAAGGCAGCAACCUUCCCCAGCCCAACAAGGUGUAGAAGUGGCCGUGCACCAUGGGCUGCUGCCCAUGCCUGGCUGCUUUUUGAUAUAGUGAGUUCUCAGGGACAGUGUGUUCAUUGAUAAAGCUGAAGAUGAACAGUGAAAAGAUUCUCCUUUGUGAUCCCUUGCCAAAAAUAGAUUCUACUUAGGACUUAUUGUUAGAUUGAUUGAGGCAUUGGCAUUGUUGGAAAACGGAAAUUCUUUACUUUGGGAACCUUGACACUAUCACUUUCCGGGUAUUUGCAUAAUGUUAAAUGACUGGCCAACUCUUGAUUUCCACAUAUACUUCUCUGUAAUCCAAUCUACUCUGUACUGAAAUAGACAGAGGAUCUAAAAUGCAUCAGGUCAUAAUAAAACUAGGCUGUAAAUGCUUGUAAAUUUUUAAAAUUUGGAUAUCCAUUAAAUCCAUUAUAUUCAAAUGGGUUUGUGCAUCCUUAAAUUAUAACUAAACAUGUUUUAUCAGUAGGAUUGUAUUGCCUUAAAACCAAAGGGUAACAAAGCAAUCAGCAAUUAUCUGACA